GCAAAUACCGCUUCUCGUACGAUCACUGGAGUUAAGCAACAACGAGCCUGGUUAGUACCUAUAUAGGUGACCGCUUGGGAAUACCAGGUACUGUAA